rnacentral:lncRNA from 1 species
AAGUUUAAGAACAUAUUAUAUCUUAAUCAACUAUACCUCCUAACAUAGCCCCCAUGUUUACAAUUCAUAAUUGUGUCUCAAUAAUCCUUCCACAGGUUCACCUAUAUGCAACACGAUGUGACACUCUUUGGAUUUCCAUCCUCCUUCCUCUAACUGAUAAGAAUCACACUUUUGGACAAGCAUAGAACUAAAUCAAGCUGUGUGCAUUUGAUAGCAACAUAAAGGCAACAUCACUGCAAGGAUUUGGUCUAAGAGCAUUCCUUGCUGCUCAUUCAAUCUAAC